rfam:Cricetulus griseus cell line CHO-K1, whole genome shotgun sequence.
GGAUGUGAGCGUGAGCUGGCUGUGGCAUUUGUCACCCUGUUGAUCACUAAGUUGAUUCAGUUGGCUGAUCUGGCAGCCUAAGGGGAUGCCCUUUCCUCCAUCACUGCUUCUGGUGUCCCUAAUGCUUGACUCAAGAGGAGGGCCUUCCUGAACAGAGGAGGGCCAGUCUUCAGUCCAGGGCUUAGAGAACAGCCGUGUUCUCCUGUUAGAGUUCUACAGCCUCAAAAUACAUCCAUAGCAGUUAUAUUGUGUGUCUCCUGAAUUAAAUGAAUACAUUUCUCAAGUUAAU